UACGUAGGGUGCAAGCGUUAAUCGGAAUUACUGGGCGUAAAGCGUGCGCAGGCGGUUUUGUAAGUCUGAUGUGAAAUCCCCGGGCUCAACCUGGGAAUUGCAUUGGAGACUGCAAGGCUAGAAUCUGGCAGAGGGGGGUAGAAUUCCACGUGUAGCAGUGAAAUGCGUAGAGAUGUGGAGGAACACCGAUGGCGAAGGCAG
rnacentral:rRNA from 1 species